rnacentral:tRNA from 1 species
GGCGACGUGGCCGAGCGGAGAGGCAAGGGUCUCGGAAAACCACUUCACGCGGGUUCGAGUCCCGCCGUUGCCGCCA